UUUUAAGUUUUAACUAUAUUUAAGUACUACAUAAAUAUGGAUAUAAAAAAUACCACAUCUCCAUUCAAAUUUGUCACUAAUUUAAGUGAUCUACAUCUAGACUCGUGAUUGAUGUAAGCAGAUGUCGAUCUAUAUAUUAAUUCAUAACAGUAAAGAAGGAUGCAUAUUUAAUAUACGUCAAGGUAUGUUUAUGUUAUGGUAAAAGAACAACACUAAUGCACGUUUCUUAUUACAUAACACAUUCUUUAGCCAACUAUUACUAGCGUAUUAUUUGUCUAAUCAUCUUGAAAUACGAAUCAACGUAAAGGAAAAAAGAAUACCCACAUUUGUCUAUCUUAGCAUCUAUUAAAGAAGUUUUACAUUUAUUUAUAAACCCUACACUAGACAAUUCGGAUGGAAGUUUAGAGAUAUAUGACUUGUACAAGC
rnacentral:lncRNA from 1 species